UCAACACACGCCUCUCUCUGUGGUUCCGCUCCCUCCUCCAUAUCUGCACGCCGCUCCUCUUCCAUGGCGCAAGGCUGCCGGGCCUCCGUCGCCGACUACCAUGUCGCCGGCAACAGGAGUGCGUUCCCGCACGCGCCCUGCGCCUGUACGGUGGCCGGCUACCUCUUCGUCGCCUCGCGUCUGCGUGCCGGAGCCCGAGGGGCGCCUCCUUCUCGCCGCGGAGGAGGCAGACAGCGGGAGCGGCCAAAGAGCUCCAUGCCCACCUGACACGAUGGGCGAUCCGGCAGCGGCGGAUCUCCUCUCCACCCGGCGGCCACCCAGCGACCCCGCGACCAACGUGGUCCUCACCCCGCCCCCUCUCAACUCCCGUAGGUGCUCCAUGUCUGCAGCUUCUAGGUGGCGAUAUGCACGACAAGUCAUACAUGCAGGUGAAUGAUUUAUGCUCGAGGUGGGUUGUUCUUUAAUCGACUGAUCGGGAUGGGACUGGAGCUUGUCUACUGAAAGUUGGCACUCAUUACAUGCUUACCUGCAGUGCACAUGGUCGAUGUUUUGCCUGAUAGAGCAUGCUUGAUUACUUUAUAGUUAGUUUCCUUCAUGAUUUGCUUUGUAUUGCCACAAAGAUGUUUGGGGGUUGAUUUGUCCUAAUUUUGUGGCAGAUUUUCGGUUAAGCAUAAUCCAGUUAAGCAAACCCUUGCUGCUCCGUGGUGUAUGCUUGUGCUGAUGUGCUCUACCACUACUAGUGUAUAUUCAGAGCACAUGUCAAUUUGUCUCAGAUAUGUUCCUUAAAUUAAAAUGGGAGCCAAACUUGGUGUAACAGCUUAUCUAACAUUGAAUAAAGAAACAUUAAAUCUGAUUGUGAAAUCUUACAAGAGGUAGCUUUAUUCAGAGUUUACAAGUGUUCAUUUCCCUAAGUUAAAAACUGAAACAUUUGGCUUUAUAGGUUGGUUGAUCACUUAAUUGUAUAUUCAAAUGGUGCUAAUUGUGUUCGUCAGUUUUUCUGAAUGUAAUUAUUAUGUUAAUCUCUGAUAUGCAUAGAAGCUGAUCUGAACUCAUGAUCUUUAAUUUAAAUCACUCUUGACCUCUUGUUGCUUAGAAUUAAUUUUAUGCGAAGUGUCAAUUUAAUCUUUGCCUAGUGUUUUGGUUAGUGGUACUGCAGCACGGUUCUUUUGCAUUCCUUUGCUCCGAUCUAGUGUAGUGUUGUCCUCAAUUCUUUUUUUCACAGUGUACUUCUAAUUGUAUAUCCACUGAUUUGCAUCUCAGAAUUUGUAGUCUACCAACCACAUCUAUUGGUAUCUCAAGCAUGCUUAUUGCCACAUCUGCCUAGCACAGAUUUGCCCAACUGCCCCUCCUCCCUGACGGCGAUGACGAGGAGCGCCGGCCCCGAGCGUCGAGGACACCACGGCUGCGGCAGGGUGCCCCGGCAGAUACGCAAGCAAGGAAGGAUGCGAGAGACUGAGCAUCAUGACCCAAAAGAUGGUACACUUCUAUAAAAAAAAUGGUUGUAGCAAGGGGAGUUUGUGGUUAAUAUGACUUCAGCUGAUAUUUCAGAGAACAAGUGUAAUCAGCUACUGUGAUGUGCUUCUGAAUGUAACCUGAGAUGUUGAAUCUUUUAUUUUUUGAGAUUAUGAUAUACUAGAUCUAAUAUGCUGUAAAUCUGAUAAAUGUGCUGAAAACUUACCAUAUCAUUUGGGCUGAAAUGUUGUUAUGAUGAA